rnacentral:lncRNA from 1 species
CUAUAUUCAAGUUCUCACUUGUUUUAGAAAUAAACUUUUUCCGUUUAAUUCCCAACCGUUCUACAAGCUAAUGUUUACUUUAUGAUCAUUUUUCCAUUAUGCAAACCCAAUAAUAAAUCCCUCUAUCCUACUGUCUGUCUCUCUCUCUAUGCAUAUUUGAGUUUUAAACAAUCGAGUUGGUUCAUGGUAAAAAUGCUUUUAUUCAUUUCUCCUAGUAAUACAAAGUAUUAUUAAAAAAAAAGAA